GAGGGUAUAGGUCAGUGGUAGAGCUUGUGCUUAGCAUGCACGAGGUCCUGGGUUCGAUCCCCAGUACGUUCA
rnacentral:tRNA from 1 species